rnacentral:tRNA from 1 species
GGCCCUAUCGUCUAGUGGUUAGGACACUAGGUUCUCAGCCUAGGGACCGGGGUUCGACUCCCCGUGGGGUCA